rnacentral:SRP_RNA from 1 species
UCAAGGUCCCCGUGCGGCGACACCUCGCCCAACUCCCCAGGGUCGAGAGACAGCAAGGGUAAGUGAGCUCUGUCGGGUGCGCGGGGGCCCCUUCAU